rnacentral:misc_RNA from 1 species
UGGCUCUCGCAUCGAUGAAGAACGCAGCGAAAUGCGAUAAGUAAUGUGAAUUGCAGAAUUCAGUGAAUCAUCGAAUCUUUGAACGCACCUUGCGCCCCGUGGUUUUCCACGGGGCACGCCUGUUCAAGUGUCACGUUAACCCCUCGCACCGAGUCGAUGUCACCGUCGCUCGGCAGCGGACUUGGACGUUGCCGGCUCUGCCCGGCUCGUCUCGAAAUGCAUUAGCUGGAGUCGUCGCCCCCACGUGAGGUGUUGAUAAUUGUCUACGCCGAAAGCGUGGAGCUUCGCUCUGCUCAGAGUCUCGCCCUUCGAACGGCGAAAUCAUAACUCAAAGUUUGACCUCGAAUCAGGUGGGACUACCCGCUGA